UUUCUUUCUUUUUUUUUUUUUUUUUUACCCCAUAGACAUGUUUGCAAGAAAUGGGAAUAUUCUCAUUUUUAAACUUGUUUUGACAGUCAAUAAUAAACAUUUGCAUUAAAAGUAAAUUUAUUAAAAGCAGAUGAAAUAUAAAUCUUCUUAGAAAAGCUUGAGAGCAGGCAAGGAUCAACUUAUAGGAGGGACUUUUGGAGAGUCGAGUCAUUCAUGUCAUUCAUCAAUGAAGAGAAAGGAAGGGCAGAGUCAAGGACACAGGGGUACAACUGCCCAGUAAGGACAAAAAGGUCUUUGAGUGUGCUCUCCAAAGCAGAAGGGGCUCAGGACACCCACGGCCGAACCUCAGGAUGCUGGCAAACUUCUUAUCUUUGUGAGUGCUCAGAAAAUAUUUGCCCCGUUUUCAGAGUGAGUCACAAAGGAAAAUAGAACAGGGGAUUUGGACGACAGCAUGGGGCUGUCUCUUAUAGCUGAUAAAAGUGCUAUAGUACAGGGCCACUGAUAUGCAAUCUGGGGUAUUUCGGUCUGUCCUUUCCCAGAAUUUGCACAUGGCUUGAUAAGAGCAAGCCUGAACAGAAAGGAAGUUGCUCACCAGAUGCCUGCACCUACGCAUGUAGCAUGCUAUUCUCUGAUCCAGAACUAUGACUUCAGCACAUUGUAGAUCCCCACUCCGGCUCCCAGCAGUCACCCAUGACCUCUCCUAACUGUAUCCGUCCUAAGGUUGUCUUGUCACUUGAGUGGACACAGGUAUAUACAUUGGUGGAAGCAGGUAAAAGUUGGAUUCUCAAUAUUUCUUUUUUUCUCUUUUGGUUCUUUUUUAUUCCCUUUAGAAAUUUCUAAGUUAUUGAUGCUCAGUUUUAUGAUCUCUCAACCCCACCUCUUGCCUUCUCUUUUAAAAUAUUUUUCUGGAGAUUACUUCCACUCAGUCUUCCAGGGUUUUUAUUGGAGAUAUGUGAAUGGUUCUUUAUUCCUAAAAAUGUUUGGUGGCUUGCUCAUGAUUUCCUUAAUAGACAUUGCUCGUGCAAUAUUGAUGCAGGAGCUUCCGGAGUCUUUAUCGCACUGAAAAGAGGUGUGGUUUAUUUUGUUUCUCUGCUUCCUGUUUUACCUUAGUGUCAUCUGUGGUUCUUCCCUCACACUGUCUAUAGUAUUUUAUGUUCAAGGCCUUCUUGAGGCUGGGGAGAUGGCUCAGCAAUUUACAGCACUGGAUGCUCUCCAGAGGACCCAUGCUCAAUUCCUAGCACCCAUAAGGCAAUUCAUAUCUAUCUGUAACUUCAGUUCCACGGUACGUGAUGCUGCCUUCUGACCUACAUGGCUACCAAACAUGCACAGGAUGAACAGACAUACAUACAGGAGGAACUUGAGCAAGAGCUAGUUUGUAAGAAGCAGAUGAUUUGGGACACUGCGUCUCAAGAACAACCCUGAGGACAAUGUGUGCUUGGAGCACAUGAAGCUCAAGAAGAAGGAAGACCAAAGUCUGGAGGACAGGCAUGCCUGGGAGCAGCUGUUGGGAUUAUGGGGAAGGAAGCACAGUACCACCUACAGAAUAAGAGAAGAGACACCCGAUGGCUUCAGUAGGAGUUAUAAAUGUGAUGUGCCUGAUAGUAUUGAAGAAAUCGUGGGUUCUGAUGGUUUCUGCUUAGAAGAAAAAGCAUCCUCAGACUAGCAAAGAAGCAACUGUUUAGGUUGGUCAGAGGAACCUACGAAACCCAGCCUAAAGCUCCGGCUAAAACCUUAAAGGUUUAUGUCCCCAGGGAACAUGCUAUGUGUCUUUCACAACCAGUCCAGUCAUCUGCACAUUGCAAACCUGCAGACGUUCCCUCAGCACCCUGAGGUUUGCAACUUAGACUCCGGACAGCAUCUGCUGUCAUCAAUACACCAGAACCAGGUUAUCAACACAGAAAAAGUAGUGUAUUUCCUGCUUCAUAACUUUUCAAAGUGAACAUUUAAUAAAAAAAAA
rnacentral:lncRNA from 1 species